GAUGAACGCUGGCGGCGUGCUUAACACAUGCAAGUCGAACGGUGAACGAGGGAGCUUGCUCCCUCCGGAUCAGUGGCGAACGGGUGAGUAACACGUGAGCAAUCUGCCCUGGACUCUGGGAUAAGCGUUGGAAACGACGUCUAAUACCGGAUACGAGGCGUGGGGGCAUCCCCAACGCCUGGAAAGAACUUCGGUCCAGGAUGAGCUCGCGGCCUAUCAGCUUGUUGGUGAGGUAACGGCUCAUCAAGGCGACGACGGGUAGCCGGCCUGAGAGGGUGACCGGCCACACUGGGACUGAGACACGGCCCAGACUCCUACGGGAGGCAGCAGUGGGGAAUAUUGCACAAUGGGCGCAAGCCUGAUGCAGCAACGCCGCGUGAGGGACGACGGCCUUCGGGUUGUAAACCUCUUUUAGAGGGAAGAAGCGAAAGUGACGGUACCUGCAGAAAAAGCACCGGCUAACUACGUGCCAGCCGCCGCCGUAAAAC
rnacentral:rRNA from 1 species